rnacentral:rRNA from 1 species
CAGUAGCCGCGGUAAUACGUAGGUGGCAAGCGUUGUCCGGAAUUAUUGGGCGUAAAGGGCUCGCAGGCGGUUUCUUAAGUCUGAUGUGAAAGCCCCCGGCUCAACCGGGGAGGGUCAUUGGAAACUGGGAAACUCGAGUGCAGAAGAGGAGAGUGGAAUUCCACGUGUAGCGGUGAAAUGCGUAGAGAUGUGGAGGAACACCAGUGGCGAAGGCGACUCUCUGGUCUGUAACUGACGCUGAGGAGCGAAAGCGUGGGGAGCGAACAGGAUUAGAUACCCCUGUAGUCCCUGUCUCUUAUAC